rnacentral:rRNA from 1 species
UACGUAGGGGGCUAGCGUUGUCCGGAUUUAUUGGGCGUAAAGAGCGUGUAGGCGGCCAUGUAGGUCCGGUGUGAAAACUCGAGGCUUAACCUCGAGAUGUCAUCGGAAACCAUUUGGCUAGAGUCCGGAAGAGGAGAGUGGAAUUCCUGGUGUAGCGGUGAAAUGCGCAGAUAUCAGGUAGAACACCAAUGGCGAAAGCAGCUCUCUGGGACGGUACUGACGCUGAGACGCGAAAGCGUGGGGAGCAAACAGG